CAGGGCAUGCAAGAAAUCUGGGACUCAUGAGCAGCGAAUUGUCCACAGUCUCAAUUUGCUCAAACGAGUGUGGUGAAAGGGAAAAUGCUCAAACUCACAGCUGGAGGAAGAUUUCUGGGAGAGUGGUUCAGGUGAGGACUGGAUGAGGAUCCAGAGCUUGCAAUGAAACUGGCAGAACCGACGUCUGCAGAGGAGGUGAGUUGAACAGAAGGGGAAUAUUGACAGAGCAGGAAUAGGCUGAGUGCCACCCAGCCGCAGACAGAUGAAUAGCAGGAAACACGCAGGCAGAGCUCGUAGUCAGGGACAGAAGGCAGGUGGGUUUACCGAGGCUGAGGUGUGAAGCAAAGGUCAGGGGCAGAUCAGGUCGAUACAAGGUAAGUAGUCCGGGCAUGAACGCUGGAGAGUCAGGCAUGAGAGCGAAGACAAUCUGGCAAAGAGUGAGGGGAAAGAAGCUGCAUAUAUACUGGCCUGAUUGGAGAUGAUGAGCAGGUGGGAGCAGCAGGUGGGAGCAGCAGGUGGAAGCAGUUAGCUGAUGAGGGGUGUGGCUGAGCAGCAGAGCAGGGGCCUCAUGUAUCAACACUUGCGUGGGACUCAUACCAGAAACGAGCGCACGCAAGGUCCGUCACGCUUAAAAAAAUCUGUAUGUAUCAAGGUGUGCGAGCGCCGAAAUCCACGUGUGUUUCCUUGAUAAAUCCCAAUCAGCGUGGAAUUGAGCGCAGAUGUCGGAGUGACCGGGUCCGCCCCCGUUACGCCCUCCUAUAAAUAUGCAGAUUUAUUUAAAUAGGGUCUCCCUGUCCCCGCACGCAGACAAAAUGACAAGAAAAACGAAAUUUACUGGCGUGCAAGGUGGAGGUGCUGGUGGCGGAGGUGGAGGAGCGACAGCAUGUUUUGUUUGGCAGCCUGUCCAGUGGCGUCAGUGCAAAACGAAAACGCUUGGAGUGGGAGAAAGUUUGCGAGAGGGUGAACGCGGUGGGUUCCGAGACAUGCACCCCCGCGGAGAUUAAAAAAAAGUGGUCGGACUUAAGGUGGAGGUCAAGCGGCGUACAGCUGCCCUCUGGAGGAGUACUGGCCAGACAGGUGAGAGUCCGGGGGAGGAGACCCUCACGCCGUUUGAGCAGCGGGUGGUGGUGCCAUCCCACUGAGCAAAAGACGUAUAUUAGACGUCUAGUCUAAGUUAAUACUUCAGUCUAUUUUUAGACGUGGUUUAUACUUCGCCCUUUACUUCAUUUUUCGAUAACUUUUUAUGCAAUUAACAACUGUAAUGUGCAUAACUGACCUCUAAAUACUGGAUUACAUUACCUAUGAUACCGUGGAGAGAGAUGUAAACGCAACAGAUACACAGAAGCAGGAAUUGAAAUGAACCAAUAUUUUUAUUGUGUCACAGAAAUCAAUGUGUCGGCCGUGUCGCCGGCUUGAGGAAACCCUGGCCCUCGGCAG